GAAUGCUGACAUAAGUAACGAUAAAGCGGGUGAAAAGCCCGCUCGCCGGAAGACCAAGGGUUCCUGUCCAACGUUAAUCGGGGCAGGGUGAGUCGACCCCUAAGGCGAGGCCGAAAGGCGUAGUCGAUGGGAAACAGGUUAAUAUUCCUGUACUUGGUGUUACUGCGAAGGGGGGACGGAGAAGGCUAUGUUGGCCGGGCGACGGUUGUCCCGGUUUAAGCGUGUAGGCUGGUUUUCCAGGCAAAUCCGGAAAAUCAAGGCUGAGGCGUGAUGACGAGGCACUACGGUGCUGAAGCGACAAAUGCCCUGCUUCCAGGAAAAGCCUCUAAGCAUCAGGUAACAUCAAAUCGUACCCCAAACCGACACAGGUGGUCAGGUAGAGAAUACCAAGGCGCUUGAGAGAACUCGGGUGAAGGAACUAGGCAAAAUGGUGCCGUAACUUCGGGA
rnacentral:rRNA from 1 species